CCCACAUUAAAUCCAUAUUCCACGAAAAGUAUAAUUCAAAAGAAUUGUCGCUCCCAUCAUUUAAAGUUAAUGGUGCAAUAGAUACAUGAUCGAGAUAGCUUUUCUCACGCUAAUAUUAAUAAUUACUAUUCAUCCCAAAAAAUAAGAAAGAAUGUUAUUUUAAAGCGGAUUUAUAUACUAAUCCAAGAUUUUAUCAUUUUAUGUAUGAAAAGAAGAAAAACAAAUAAACAUCACAAAACUUAUAGAAAAAGAUUCCAACUUUACAAGGCAAAAAGUAAUUAUGUUGCCACCGAGACACGUCAGAAUCCACAAUAAUGCGCGCCAAAUUCACCUCAAAUGCGCGCCAAAUUCACGUUCACCAAACGGUAGGCCUCUCUCUCCUCUCGUCUUCCUCCCUCCGCCGCCUCACCUGAUUCGCGACGAGAGGCGGCGACGCCAUGGCCGGCGGCGAAUUACCAAAAAACAAUAUCAUCACAGCAGAUCCCGCUACUCUGCUGCCUCACAUCUCAAAAUCUCAAGAGAAAAAUUCCAUAAAACAUCAGCGAUUCACACAUAUCCGCCGGUGAAAACAUAUUGAAAUAUGUAGUAAAAAUUGGGAAGAAUAGAAUAAGGUUGUGAAGGGAAAAGAGAGUAUAAAAAGGUUUUGGUUGAAAUGGGACGCCACCCUAUAUA
rnacentral:lncRNA from 1 species